rnacentral:lncRNA from 1 species
UAGGUUGCUGCCUAUUUGAAGAGAUUCCAUUUUGAAAAGCAAGAACCCACUGUGAUGGAUGUCUCUUCAGAGAUGAGCAGACAUGGGAAGAAUCCAGUGAGUCACAAGCUAGAAGAUCAGAAGAAG